UCGGAUGUGGUGCAUGGUGCACACCCGCCCGUGAUACAAUGUUAUCAAGGUUGCAAUGCGGAGAGGUCUGGGUUCGACUCCCAGAGUCCGAA